AUAACAAUGCCAGACGGCCAUUUGCUAUUACGAUUGGGCUGGUAUAUGGAGGAAAUUCGGUUCAUCACUUCUUACCAAUCCUGGAUCCAUUGGAAUAGAAAAGUCACGACGGAUACAAAUCACAGAUCUCGAUCCACAUCACGAAUAUUCACAAGUAUCAUCAUAAAGUUCACAAAGUUAUACGAUAUAGUCCUUUGAAAUAUCCAAAAGGUCCAGUGCACGUCCGUGUAUUACGAAUCCAGCGUCAUUUGGAAAGGUCCAGGAUCAAUGUCCGAAAGUACAUCAUACGGUUUGGAAGGCUUCCUCACGGCAAGGUACAUGUAGCAUUGAAUUUGAUGCCGGCAUGGAAUGGUGACUUGGGAUAUCCGGGCGGUCAUGAGAAUUAACAUGAACAUUGGGUGAAAUUGAGUGCGGUUUAAAAGUAAUUUCAAAGCUUUCAUCAGCCUCCAUUGUACAAAAAUUUGUAUC